UACGGGGGGAGCAAGCGUUGUUCGGAUUUACUGGGCGUAAAGGGCGCGUAGGCGGUCAGCACAAGUCAGUUGUGAAAUCUCCGGGCUUAACUCGGAAAGGUCAACUGAUACUGUGCGACUAGAGUGCAGAAGGGGCAACUGGAAUUCUCGGUGUAGCGGUGAAAUGCGUAGAUAUCGAGAGGAACACCUGCGGCGAAGGCGGCAUCCUGGACCGACAUUGACGCUGAUGAGCGAAAGCUAGGGGAGCAAACGGG
rnacentral:rRNA from 1 species